CAUCAAUAAAACCUGGAAAAUAACAAACUAUUAAAGAACAGCAAGAAACAAGAACUGCCAAAGGUUACAUCGUUGCCCAAUUUACUAACGCUAAUAUUCUUCCAUAAAAAAUGGAUCACACCUUAUUCGAAAAUGGUCCACUGAUCACUCUCUCCUCUCCGGAUUAUCAGCUCGUCUCCAGAGCCAGCACUCGGAAGUAUCUUCUAUUGGAUUAAGCUCGAAGAAAAAAGGAACUUGAGAAAUAAGUUGAAGAUCUAAUCCUACCGAGUUAUGGUUCAUGAAAAGAUUAGGAAAUAUAGAAAUAUGUUAAGUUUAUAGAGAUUAGGAGAUAUCUAAUUCCUAUAUAAGGAGAUGUAAGGUUGUUGCAUAACUUAUGAGUUUGAGAGAUUGUGAUUGAGAGAGCUUAAGUUGUUGAGUUCACAAUCGAGAUUUGUAGGAGAUAAUGGAGAGAGAGGAAGGUUUGAUGAGCAUCUUCCAUUGAUGGUCUGUACGACCUCAAAAGAGAAGCCAAGUGAGAGAGACGUUUCAUUUAGAG
rnacentral:lncRNA from 1 species